AAGUUUCAGCUUAUUUUCAUAAGACUCAAGGUUUGAGAUAAGACAAUCUUUAUAGAACUCAUCUCAAGGUAAUUUAAAGCAUGUCUUGCAAUAUAAGGAAGUUCAUAAAAAUCAAUCCAUAAGAUUUAAGGUAUACAUCAAAUUGAAGUAACUUUAGGAUAAGAUACUGAAUAUCUAAAGCUCCCCCUCAAAAGAUGCAUACUUCUUUAAUCAUUCUUUUCUUUUGUUGAAUUUCAGAUUUUAAUGACAAACGUGAAUAGAACUGAAAUUCUAUGAUAUCGAGAAUGGAGAGUGAUCAAGAAUUAUUCAGAAUUUAUAGCAAUCACCCUUUUUAAUCUAUCAAGAACAAGUUAUGCUUCCUCUUAAUCUUUGAGAAAAUGUACUGAAAUAUUAAUCAGAAAAUGAUUCAUUUGACGCUCAGUUUCUUUCAACAGCAUUUACAUUUUC
rnacentral:lncRNA from 1 species